GUAUAAAAAGCGAGAAGUUUGCAUACGGUUUCGGCCCGUACUUUGGGGGUGUGAGUCCUCCUUUAUAUU
rnacentral:tRNA from 1 species